GACGAACCGUGCGAACGUUGUUCGGAAUCACUGGGCGUAAAGGGCUCGUAGGCGGCCGACUAAGUCAGACGUGAAAUCCCUAGGCUCAACCUAGGAACUGCGUCUGAUACUGGAUGGCUUGAAUCCGGGAGAGGGAUGCAGAAUUCCAGGUGUAGCGGUGAAAUGCGCAGAUAUCAGGAGGAACACCGGUGGCGAAGGCGGGUCUCUGGGCCGUAACUGACGCUGAGGAGCGAAAGCAUGGGGAGCGAACAGG
rnacentral:rRNA from 1 species